rnacentral:rRNA from 1 species
UACGAAGGGUGCAAGCGUUAAUCGGAAUUACUGGGCGUAAAGGGUGCGUAGGCGGUUGUUUAAGUCUGUCGUGAAAUCCCCGGGCUCAACCUGGGAAUGGCGAUGGAUACUGGGCAGCUAGAGUGUGUCAGAGGAUGGUGGAAUUCCCGGUGUAGCGGUGAAAUGCGUAGAGAUCGGGAGGAACAUCAGUGGCGAAGGCGGCCAUCUGGGGACAACACUGACGCUGAAGCACGAAAGCGUGGGGAGCAAACAGG